ACUCUCUUAGGACCACACCUGGAGAGUUUCCAGGAGUCUACCAGUCUUGACUAUGGGAGGCAGAGUCUAGCAGAGGCAUUCCCAUUCCAUUCCUAACUUGGGGAGAGGCUAGUGAGUGGAAGGCAGUCUGCAACAAGU